rnacentral:rRNA from 1 species
UGAGGAAUAUUGGUCAAUGGACGGAAGUCUGAACCAGCCAAGUAGCGUGCAGGAUGACGGCCCUAUGGGUUGUAAACUGCUUUUGUAUGGGGAUAAAGUUAGGGACGUGUCCCUAUUUGCAGGUACCAUACGAAUAAGGACCGGCUAAUUCCGUGCCAGCAGCCGCGGUAAUACGGAAGGUCCAGGCGUUAUCCGGAUUUAUUGGGUUUAAAGGGAGCGUAGGCUGGAGAUUAAGUGUGUUGUGAAAUGUAGACGCUCAACGUCUGAAUUGCAGCGCAUACUGGUUUCCUUGAGGUACGCACAACGUUGGCGGAAUUCGUCGUGUAGCGGUGAAAUGCUUAGAUAUGACGAAGAACUCCGAUUGCGAAGGCAGCUGACGGGAGCGCAACUGACGCUUAAGCUCGAAGGUGCGGGUAUCAAACAGGAUUAGAUACCCUGGUAGUCCGCACAGUAAACGAUGGAUGCCCACUGUUGGUACCUGGUAUCAGCGGCUAAGCGAAAGCAUUAAGCAUCCCACCUGGGGAGUACGCCGGCAACGGUG